UAUAUAAACACAAUACGAAGGACGCCUCGGUUUGUUCUGGGAUUCUCGCCCUAUCAGCAGGACGCUCUCCGUUAUCUUCAAGACUCCGACCAAUAAUUUCUGUUUUCCAAGAUGCAACGUCCGUUGCUGCUAUUGCUUGUUGUCGGUGUAGUUUUCGCCAAGCAAGAAGACGAACUUGGCCUAAAGACCUGUCCCGGGGUUAUUACGAAUGCAAGGAGGACGUUGCAUCCCAGAACUGAGGCUUUGUGACGGAAUCCAAGACUGCAUCAUGGGAGAUGACGAAGUAGGAUGUUCAAAGCUAGAAGAGACACCAGAGACUUGCCCUAAUGGGUAUUAUCAGUGUGACGGAGGAGUUUGCAUCCCACAGCAAUAUGUCUGCGAUGGAAUUCAGGACUGUAUUGUGGGAGAUGACGAGAAGAACUGCAGUGGAUAGGAUUAGACCACGUUCCCAAGGAGGACACUGAUUGCCCCUGAGGAUAUGACUGCAAAUUCUAAAUGGUUUUUUGAUAUACUGCAAAUUACUCUGAUUGCCUGAUUGCGCUUUGUGAAGCAUCAAUUCCUUCAGAAGUAAAAUUCAUUAUUUUAU